UACGAAGGGGGGCUAGCGUUGCUCGGAAUCACUGGGCGUAAAGCGCACGUAGGCGGCUUCUUAAGUCAGGGGUGAAAUCCUGGAGCUCAACUCCAGAACUGCCCUUGAUACUGAGGAGCUCGAGUCCGGAAGAGGUGAGUGGAACUGCGAGUGUAGAGGUGAAAUUCGUAGAUAUUCGCAAGAACACCAGUGGCGAAGGCGGCUCACUGGCUCGGUACUGACGCUGAGGUGCGAAAGCGUGGGGAGCAACAGGG
rnacentral:rRNA from 1 species